rnacentral:rRNA from 1 species
AACGAACGCUGGCGGCAGGCUUAACACAUGCAAGUCGAACGCUCGUAGCAAUACGGGAGUGGCAGACGGGUGAGUAACGCGUGGGAACAUACCCUUUGGUUCGGAAUAACUGAGAGAAAUUUCAGCUAAUACCGGAUGUGCCCUUCGGGGGCAAGAUUUAUCGCCAAAGGAUUGGCCCGCGUAUGAUUCGGUAGUUGGUGAGGUAACGGCUCACCAAGCCGACGAUCAGUAGCUGGGCUGAGAGGAUGAUCAGCCACACUGGGACUGAGACACGGCCCAGACUCCUACGGGAGGCAGCAGUGGGGAAUAGUGGACAAUGGGGGGAACCCUGAUCCAGCCAUGCCGCGUGAGUGAUGAAGGCCUUAGGGUUGUAAAGCUCUUUCGCUAGGGAAGAUAAUGACGGUACCUAGAGAAGAAGCCCCGGCUAACUUCGUGCCAGCCGCCGCGGUAA